rnacentral:rRNA from 1 species
UACAGAGGUGGCAAGCGUUGUUCGGAAUUACUGGGCGUAAAGGGCGCGUAGGCGGCCCGUCAAGUCCCGUGUGAAAGCCCCCGGCUCAACCGGGGAACGGCGCGGGAAACUAGCAGGCUUGAGUUCGGGAGAGGGAAGCGGAAUUCCGGGUGUAGCGGUGAAAUGCGCAGAUAUCGGGAGGAACACCAGUGGCGAAGGCGACUUCCUGGCCUGUUCUUGACGCUGAGGCGCGAAAGCUAGGGGAGCAAACGGG